rnacentral:rRNA from 1 species
UCCUACGGGGGGCAGCAGUGAGGAAUAUUGGUCAAUGGUCGGGAGACUGAACCAGCCAAGCCGCGUGAGGGAGGAGGGUACAGAGUAUCGUAAACCUCUUUUGUCAGGGAACAAAGGCGGGGACGUGUCCCCGGAUGAGUGUACCUGAAGAAAAAGCAUCGGCUAACUCCGUGCCAGCAGCCGCGGUAAUACGGAGGAUGCGAGCGUUAUCCGGAUUUAUUGGGUUUAAAGGGUGCGCAGGAGGUCUGUUAAGUCAGCGGUCAAAGCCCGGGGCUCAACCCCGGCCCGCCGUUGAAACUGGCAGG